AGAGUUUGAUCAUGGCUCAGGACGAACGCUGACGGUGUGCUUUAGACAUGCAAGUCGAACGCGAAAGCCCUUCGGGGCGAGUAGAGUGGCGAACGGGUGAGUAACACGUGGGUAACCUGCCCCUCGCAGGGGGAUAACCGGGGGAAACCCCGGCUAAUACCCCGUACGCUCCGAGGUCCGCAUGGUCCUCGGAGGAAAGGUAGCUUCGGCCAUCCGGCGAGGGAUGGGCCCGCGGUCCAUUAGCUAGUUGGUGGGGUGACGGCUCACCAAGGCGACGAUGGAUAGCUGGUCUGAGAGGAUGAUCAGCCACACUGGGACUGAGACACGGCCCAGACUCCUACGGGAGGCAGCAGUCGGGAAUCUUGCGCAAUGGGCGAAAGCCUGACGCAGCAACACCGUGUGGGCGAUGAAGGCCUUCGGGUCGUAAAGCCCUGUUGUUGGGGACGAAGGGCGAAGGGUUAAUAGCCACUAGCCUGACGGUACCCUUCGAGGAAGCCCCGGCUAACUACGUGCCAGCAGCCGCGGUAAUACGUAGGGGGCGAGCGUUGUCCGGAAUUAUUGGGCGUAAAGAGCGUGUAGGCGGUUUGGUAAGUCUGCCGUGAAAACCCGGGGCUCAACCCCGGGCGUGCGGUGGAUACUGCCAGGCUAGAGGAUGGUAGAGGCGAGUGGAAUUCCCGGUGUAGCGGUGAAAUGCGCAGAUAUCAGGAAGAACACCUAUGGCGAAGGCAGCUCUCUGGGACGGUACUGACGCUGAGACGCGAAAGCGUGGGGAGCGAACAGGAUUAGAUACCCCGGUAGUCC
rnacentral:rRNA from 1 species